AGCUGUCGAGCCUUGGCGAGGCUGCGUCGGCGGUGUGUCUGAUACACCGCUUACGCAGCCUUGCCAAGGCUCGACAGCU
rnacentral:misc_RNA from 1 species